UAGAUAAAGAUUAAAGGUAUAUUCUGCCCAAUGGUUUAAUUAUUAAAUGGCUGCAGUAUAUUGACUGUGCAAAGGUAGCAUAAUAAUUAGUCUUUUAAUUGAGGACUUGUAUGAAUGAAUUUAUGAGAAAUUUUUUUUAUUAUUAAUAAUUUUUUAAUUUAAUUUUUAGGUAAAAAAGCUUAAUUAAUUUUUUGGGACGAUAAGACCCUAUAGAACUUUAUUUAAUAAUUUAUAAAAUUAUUUUAGUUAAAUUAUUUUGAUUUAAUAUUUUACUAUAUUUUGUUGGGGUGAUAGAUAAAUAAUACUUUAUUUUUUUAUAUCAUUUAUUUAUGUUUGAUUAUUGAUCCAUUGUUAAUUUUGAUUAUAAGAUUAAGUUACCUUAGGGAUAACAGCGUAAUUCUUAUGGGGAGUUCAUAUUUAUAUAAGAGUUUGCGACCUCGAUGUUGAAUUAAGAUAAAUAGAAGGAGCAG
rnacentral:rRNA from 1 species